rnacentral:rRNA from 1 species
AUUGAACGCUGGCGGCAGGCCUAACACAUGCAAGUCGAGCGGUUGAGGUAGCUUGCUACCGAAGCAGCGGCGAACGGGUGAGUAAUGCAUGGGAAUCUGCCUGGUAGUGGGGGACAACGUUUCGAAAGGAACGCUAAUACCGCAUACGCCCUACGGGGGAAAGGGGGGGAUCUUCGGACCUCUCGCUAUCAGAUGAGCCCAUGUCAGAUUAGCUUGUUGGGGAGGUAAAGGCUCACCAAGGCGACGAUCUGUAACUGGUCUGAGAGGAUGAUCAGUCAAACUGGAACUGAGACAAGGUCCAGACUCCUACGGGAGGCAGCAGUGGGGAAUAUUGGACAAUGGGGGCAACCCUGAUCCAGCCAUGCCGCGUGUGUGAGGAAGGCCUUCGGGUUGUAAAGCACUUUCAGUGGGGAGAAAGGUCAUUCACCUAAUACGUGAGUGAAUUGAUGUUACCCACAGAAGAAGCACCGGCUAACUCCGUGCCAGCCGCCGCCGUAA